GCGUAGAAUACGCAAGAGGGCGCAGGAAGUCGAAGGUAGAACGCGCGUCUACUAGGCGUCGCAUCGGUCGGAUUUUGACUCGAUGGAUCGAUUGAAAAUCAACGCGACAUCUCGUUCGACUUGUCUAGCCUUUGAGUCAUCGAUUCACAGACGCGUCUAUGGUGUAGACGCGCGACGCCAGGUGCACCCGGAAUAAUUAUGAACGUGACACGUGGAUCAGUGGCGUGUAAUGGUUUCUAAGAAAUGUGUCUCUUUCUGGUGUUUAUCGUUCUCGGCGAUUAUCUAAUUUUGGUUCGAAACACUGUUUAUGGGUAUAUACCAAUUAGGAGGAUCCGAAUUCGUGGCAGAAGCAUGUAACGGUCCAAUUAUCGGCUGCCAUAUAUCAACCGCCAGAAAUUCGAUAUAUUCGACACGGUGAUCGAUCUACAGAUGGGCAUAAUAAUCAAGAACAUUGGCCAUUGCAGAAACACUAUGAACGAAUAACGGACGUCAAAUAUUUUGCAAGUAGUCUAACGAAGGAUGCAGAGGACUCCAAGAGGGAAGAAAAGGCAACAAAAAAAAUUUUCAUACGAAUCGAAGUAUGAUUCACUUUAAUGCGUUUAUUAUGCGCGACAAGGAAUGUCGGCGUGUCGCGUUUAAGUGACAACGACAAUGGCUCCGCCGGUUGUAACGAUUUAGCUGGAAUACACCAGGCCAAACCUAGCGACAAUAGGCCGCCACGCGAAUAGAGAGGAGAAAAAGGAAAAGAUGAGGAUAAAAGGAGGGAACGUAAGCCGGUGACGAUGUUUCUCGUGAUACGUGACAGGAUGCACCGCCACGUGCCCGCUUUGCGGGUGGUUGGCGAGCACAUUCAAAGGUGGAACUUCGUCAUCGAGUACGUGGAAGACACUGGGCACACGCUGCAUGUAGAUAUCUGGACAAUCGACACGCGAUCAACCUCUUCUUUCUUUCUUAACGAGGCUUGAGAGAGGAACGCCUAUUUCGAUGUGUGGAAAGAAAUAAUGCUUCCUUUGUGACUUCGUGUCGCGUUUGCUUAAACUUAAACGGAAUACUUCUUUGGAAGUAUCUGUUCAACUCAUCGCAAAACGCACAGCUCCACCGGGCCCAGGACAAAGACAAUAGCCGAGAUAGAUCGCGACUUCCGUCUUCUUCGGUACCCCGGAAAGCGAGGAAAAAAACCGGGUGUCCUUCUAUCGCGCGAUCUCAUCUCCUCGAGAUGGCGACAGGCCCGGCUGUCGGCCAACGAAGAGGGGCCAACCGAGGAACAACUGUGCGUAGCCCGAGCAAGAAGAGAGCCAAGCCAAAGGAACCAAGAAAAAGAAACUUCGGUCGGAGAAAAGUCAACCGAUGGAACAACGACAGAGGACAACUCACCGAGAAAGAAGAAGAAGAAGAAGAAAAAGUCGACGUAUAGACUCGUGCGGCUGGCCUUGAUUCAUUCAGACCCUUUUUAUCUCGAGAAUUCGUCCCGGAAAGGACGCUCGAUUUCUCGGAACCUUCUCUCGGUCCCCUCGGGGUCCGAGAUUUAGGCCGGGGCCCGUGGUCGCUGAUAGCAGAAGAGAGAAGCGGACGCAUCAAUGGGCUCCAUUCAAACUCGGGUCCAGAUCGUAUCUAAGAGUGGUUUUCGGGCCCAGGACAUCGAUCUUGGUCCCCCUAAUUAUUUCCAAGAUGGAGAUCAUCGUGGUCCUAGCACACGGCUCGGUAUCGAGGCUAUUUUGGGUCCACGAGGAGAGAGAAGGAGAGAGGGAGAGAGAGAAAGAGACAGAGAGGAGUGUACCUGCUUUCUUUAGGGCCUUGCGUAUCCUAUGGCGACGGACGCUUGGCCGAUUGGUCACGCUCGCGGGCCCGCUUCGAAACGAUUUCGCACGGUUUUCGUGGACAUGUCUCUCGAUGCUCUUGCCGACUUUUGUACUGGAGACACGAGAAAGAUCGCCGUGGAUAAUCGCUUCUUGGCAUCGGUCAGACGAUGUUGUAUCAAUUUAGCUUCCGUUCCGACUUUGUUCAGAAAAGUGAAUAUAAACUGAUGCUAUAUAUUCUUUGAUGUUUGAUAAAGCGACUGCAAAAUAGUCGAUUCCAAAACAUUAAAAUUUUUAUUUCACAUGUUUAAUUUUUCAUGCAAUGUCGCAUAACGAAAUAAUUUUGAUUCGUUUGAUGUUGAUUUUAUAUACGUAUCUUGUUUGCCAUCGUUUCGACGUUACAAGGAUCGUUGUAGCAUGUAUUAACGUAAUCAAAUGCCACGUGAUAAUGAAGCUAUUUAACAUAAUUUAGAAACCUUUCAUCCAUAUUAUCGCGUGACGACUUUCCAUUAAUCCUAUUCAUGGGUUUACCAAGAAUAAAAGCUCGCCAAUUCUAACCUAUUUGCAACAGCAAUCGUAUAAACUUUGUGCAAUUUUCUUGAAAUUUUUCCUGGCAAUGCAUUCUACGUAACCUUUAUAUCAUUUAUAUCUGGAACAAAAUUUUUGAAAACAAUAUAAUAUAAUAUAAAUUAUUUGUGUGAAAAAUAUAUUUAUCGAAAAAAAGGUUACAUAUGUCCAUAUCCAUUUCUUACCUUUUUACGAUUCUAAAAUAAAUAUAUCGCGCUUUAU